CGCUACGGGAUGACGGUCGGUUUCCGGAAGGGACUAAGAGGGAAUCCGUGGCCAAGACGGCCAGCCAAACGGAACUGCCCCCGCAACUGUAGGCGGCGAGCUGAACUCGGAAAAUCCACUGGGCCCCGCGCCCGGGAAGGUCGAGGAAAGCGACGACCCGUCAGUCAGGAGACCUGCCGACGCAGAUGACCAACC
rnacentral:ncRNA from 2 species